GUGUUUGAAUGCUUGUUCCCUAGCU
rnacentral:piRNA from 1 species